rnacentral:lncRNA from 1 species
GAAAAUAUUAAACAGUGAAAUCACUAAUUUAUAAGUACCCAACACCAUGCUUUCUACAAAUUAUUUUACAGUAGAGGACAGAAUGACUCUCAUACACUCUGCUUUUUCUGGAAUGGUUCCUGGGUCUUCUGACCACCCAAGUCUUGCAGAGUUCUCCCACAUUUAUCCCAGUUGUCACAGAUGAGAAGCGCUUUCUCUUCUGGUGACCUUCGGCCCCUGGCAGCACUGAGCCGCGAAAGAGCAUCUGGAGGAUGUGAAGCUUGGUCCUGACUUUGCCCUUAACCAAGACCUCGGUGACCUUGAGCAGGGGCCGGGCAGGGGGGAAGGUCACAGACUCUCUGGGUCUCUGUUUUCUCAACUCUAACCUAAGAGGCUGCACUCAGUAGGCCCAGUGUGUCUCCAUGAUUCUGUGAAUCUGUAACUUUCAAAAUCUUCAGAACACCCGUGAAGGGUAAGCAGGCAGGGAUUUUUGUCCAUAUUUGACUCAUGAAGAAACUAAGGAUGGAGGAAGUGAGAGGACUGAGGAGUGUUUGAACCAGCGCCAGAAGUGAGUUCACCUGAGUUCCAGCACAAUAUUCCUUCUAGCGUGAGAGAAACAUGGACCCUUCCUCCCAGGAAUUUACUAUCAAGCUUAUUCAGCUGGCACUGGUUUGAGGAAAGACUACAGGCUCUUAAGAGAGGUCAGCAAGGGAGGCAGGACCGCCAGAAAGGGCCGGUCGGACCUGGGUCAUGGCCGCUGUGAGGAGGGAAAUCGGAAGAGGCUGUUUGCUGAGGGGCUGGCAUUCCCUGGAGCACAAGGGAAGGGGAAGUUGCCAGGAAACCCUGAGUUUUCCAACCUGACAAUCAGGCCACAGCUGAGUUUUUAUAGGAAAUUGCCCAGCU